UAGGGAAUAUUGGACAAUGGGCGAAAGCCUGAUCCAGCCAUGCCGCGUGAGUGAUGAAGGCCUUCGGGUUGUAAAGCUCUUUUGGCGGGGACGAUAAUGACGGUACCCGCAGAAUAAGCCCCGGCUAACUUCGUGCCAGCAGCCGCGGUAAUACGAAGGGGGCUAGCGUUGUUCGGAAUCACUGGGCGUAAAGCGCACGUAGGCGGACUUUCAAGUCAGGGGUGAAAUCCCGGAGCUCAACUUCGGAAUUGCCUUUGAUACUGUAAGUCUCGAGUCCGGAAGAGGUGGGUGGAAUUCCUAGUGUAGAGGUGAAAUUCGUAGAUAUUAGGAAGAACACCGGUGGCGAAGGCGGCCCACUGGUCCGGUACUGACGCUGAGGUGCGAAAGCGUGGGGAGCAAACAGG
rnacentral:rRNA from 1 species